ACGAACGCUGGCGGCGUGCCUAAUACAUGCAAGUCGAGCGGAAUGAUGAAGAAGCUUGCUUCUUCUGAUUUUAGCGGCGGACGGGUGAGUAACACGUGGGCAACCUACCUUGUAGAUUGGGAUAACUCCGGGAAACCGGGGCUAAUACCGAAUAAUCCAUUUUGCUUCAUGGCGAGAUGUUAAAAGGCGGCUUCGGCUGUCACUACGAGAUGGGCCCGCGGCGCAUUAGCUAGUUGGUGGGGUAAUGGCCUACCAAGGUAAUGAUGGGUAGCCGACCUGAGAGGGUGAUCGGCCACACUGGGACUGAGACACGGCCCAGACUCCUACGGGAGGCAGCAGUAGGGAAUCUUCCACAAUGGACGAAAGUCUGAUGGAGCAACGCCGCGUGAGUGAAGAAGGUUUUCGGAUCGUAAAACUCUGUUGCAAGGGAAGAACACGUACGAGAGUAACUGCUCGUACCUUGACGGUACCUUAUUAGAAAGCCACGGCUAACUACGUG
rnacentral:rRNA from 1 species